rnacentral:lncRNA from 10 species
GACAGAAUCUUGCUCUGUUCCCCAGGCUGGAGUGCAGUGGUACGAUCUUGACUCACUACAACCUCCACCUCACGGAUUCAAGUGAUUCUUGUGCCUCAGCCUCCCAAGUAGCUAAGAUUACAAGCGUGUGCCACCAUGCCUAGCUAAUUUUUGUAUUUUUAGUAGAGAGGGGAUUUUAGCAUGUUGGUCAGGCUCAAACUCCUGACCUCUAGUGAUCUGCCCGCCUCGGCCUUCCAAAGUGGUGGGAUUGCAGGUGUGAGCCACUGUGCCUGGCCCCAAUUCACUUUUUAUGUACAUCUGGGUAGUUUCUAAUUUUUUACUAUUACCAAUAAACAGAAAUAAUGAUCAAAAGUGCUGCUGCCAGGCACGGUGGCUCAUGCCUGUAAUCCUAGCACUUUGGGAGGCUGAGGCAGGUGGAUCACGAGGUCAGGAGAUCGAGACCAUCCUGGCCAACAUGGUGAAACCCCAUCUCUACUAAAAAUACAAAAAUUAGCUGGGCAUGGUGGCAUGCGCCUGUAGUCCCAGCUACUCGGGAGGCUAGGGCAGGAGAAUCGCUUAAACCCAGGGCGGAGGUUGCAGUGAGCCGAGAUCACAUCACUGCACUCCAGCCUGGGGGACAGAGUGAGACUCCAUCUCAAAAAAAAAAAAA